UACGUAGGGUGCGAGCGUUGUCCGGAAUUAUUGGGCGUAAAGAGCUCGUAGGCGGCCUGUCGCGUCGGAUGUGAAAGCCCGGGGCUUAACCCCGGGCCUGCAGUGGGUACGGGCAGACUAGAGUGCGGUAGGGGAGACUGGAAUUCCUGGUGUAGCGGUGAAAUGCGCAGAUAUCAGGAGGAACACCGGUGGCGAAGGCGGGUCUCUGGGCCGUAACUGACGCUGAGGAGCGAAAGCAUGGGGAGCGAACAGG
rnacentral:rRNA from 1 species